UCGAACGAUUCUUAGGUGGCUUGCCAUCUAAGAAGAGUGGCGAAUGGGUGAGUAACACGUGAGUAAUCUGCCCUCGAGUGAGGAAUAACUUCGCGAAAGCGGAGCUAAUACCGCAUAAUAUUCUGGAGAAUAAUCUUUCAGAAUUAAAGCCUUCGGGCGCUUGAGGAUGAGCUUGCGUCCUAUUAGCUUGUUGGUAGGGUAAUGGCCUACCAAGGCAAUGAUGGGUAGCCGGCCUGAGAGGGUGUACGGCCACACUGGGACUGCGACACGGCCCUGACUCCUACGGGAGGCAGCAGUGGAGAAUUUUGCGCAAUGGGCGAAAGCCUGACGCAGCGACGUCGCGUGGAGGAUGAAGGCCUUCGGGUUGUAAACCCCUGUCAGAGGAGAAGAAAGCCCUUCGGGGUUUGACGGUAUCCUCAGAGGAAGCCCCGGCUAACUACGUGCCAGCAGCCGCGGUAAAACGUAGGGGGCGAACGUUGCUCGAAUUACUGGGCGUAAGGGUGCGUAGGUGGCUGAAAAGUCAAAAUGAAUCCCGAGGCUUAACCUCGGAACUGUUUCCGAAACUACUUACCUGGAGGAUAGUGAAGGAAAACCGAAUUCCCGGUGGACCGGUGAAAUGC
rnacentral:rRNA from 1 species